GUCUAUGGCCAUACCACCCUGAACACACCUAAUUCCGUCUGAUCUCAGAAGCUAAACAGGGUUGGGUCUGGUUAGUACUUGGAAGGGACAGAAUAUCUGAGUGAUGGCUU
ensembl:rRNA 5S_rRNA 5S ribosomal RNA